GACGAACGCUGGCGGCGUGCUUAACACAUGCAAGUCGAACGGAGAGGCCCGGCUUUGGUGGGGUGCUCGAGUUGCGAACGGGUGAGUAACACGUGAGUAACCUGCCCUUGACUUUGGGAUGACUUCAGGAAACUGGGGCUAAUACCGGAUAGGAGCUCCUGCUGCAUGGUGGGGGUUGGAAAGUUUCGGCGGUUGGGGAUGGACUCGCGGCUUAUCAGCUUGUUGGUGGGGUAGUGGCUUACCAAGGCUUUGACGGGUAGCCGGCCUGAGAGGGUGACCGGCCACAUUGGGACUGAGAUACGGCCCAGACUCCUACGGGAGGCAGCAGUGGGGAAGAUUGCACAAUGGGCGGAAGCCUGAUGCAGCAACGCCGCGUGCGGGAUGACGGCCUUCGGGUUGUAAACCGCUUUCGCCUGUGACGAAGCGUGAGUGACGGUAAUGGGUAAAGAAGCACCGGCUAACUACGUG
rnacentral:rRNA from 1 species